rnacentral:rRNA from 1 species
ACCUGCCCUAUGNNNAGUUNNNAUUAAAUGGCUGCGGUAUUUUGACCGUGCAAAGGUAGCAUAAUAAUUAGUUUUUUAAUUGGGAACUGGAAUGAAUGGUUGGACGAGAAAAAUACUGUCUCAAUUUAAAUUUAAUUAGAAUUUUAUUUUUAAGUAAAAAAGCUUAAAUAAAUUUAAAAGACGAGAAGACCCUAUAGAGUUUUAUAUAAAAUANUAAUAUUUGAAANNGUUAAAGNNUAUAAUAAUUUUNAUUUAUUAUUUUUNUUGUAUUUAAUUGGGGUGAUUGAAAAAUUUAAUUAACUUUUUUUUNNNNAUUAAAAUCAUAAAUUUAUGAAUAAUUGAUCCAUNUAUUAAUGAUUAUAAGAUU